GAUGAACGCUGGCGGAGGGAAGAAUACAGGCAAGUCGAGCGAACAGAUGAGGAGCUUGCUCCUCUGACGUUAGCGGCGGACGGGUGAGUAACACGUGGAUAACCUACCUAUAAGACUGGGAUAACUUCGGGAAACCGGAGCUAAUACCGGAUAAUAUAUUGAACCGCAUGGUUCAAUAGUGAAAGACGGUUUUGCUGUCACUUAUAGAUGGAUCCGCGCCGCAUUAGCUAGUUGGUAAGGUAACGGCUUACCAAGGCAACGAUGCGUAGCCGACCUGAGAGGGUGAUCGGCCACACUGGAACUGAGACACGGUCCAGACUCCUACGGGAGGCAGCAGUAGGGAAUCUUCCGCAAUGGGCGAAAGCCUGACGGAGCAACGCCGCGUGAGUGAUGAAGGUCUUCGGAUCGUAAAACUCUGUUAUUAGGGAAGAACAAAUGUGUAAGUAACUAUGCACGUCUUGACGGUACCUAAUCAGAAAGCCACGGCUACCUACGUG
rnacentral:rRNA from 1 species